UACGUAGGGUGCGAGCGUUAAUCGGAAUUACUGGGCGUAAAGCGUGCGCAGGCGGUGAUGUAAGACAGUUGUGAAAUCCCCGGGCUCAACCCGGAGACGCCAUCCGAUACUGCUGUGACUGGAGUCUGGUAGGGGAUCACGGAAUACCUGGUGUAGCGGUGAAAUGCGCAGAUAUCAGGUGGAACACCGAUGGCGAAGGCAGUGAUCUGGGCCAGUACUGACGCUGAGGAGCGAAAGCAUGGGGAGCGAACAGG
rnacentral:rRNA from 1 species